rnacentral:rRNA from 1 species
GACGAACGCUGGCGGCGUGCCUAAUACAUGCAAGUUGAGCGCUGAAGGUUGGUACUUGUACCAACUGGAUGAGCAGCGAACGGGUGAGUAACGCGUGGGGAAUCUGCCUUUGAGCGGGGGACAACAUUUGGAAACGAAUGCUAAUACCGCAUAAAAACUUUAAACACAAGUUUUAAGUUUGAAAGAUGCAAUUGCAUCACUCAAAGAUGAUCCCGCGUUGUAUUAGCUAGUUGGUGAGGUAAAGGCUCACCAAGGCGAUGAUACAUAGCCGACCUGAGAGGGUGAUCGGCCACAUGGGGACUGGGACACGGCCCAAACUCCUACGGGAGGCAGCAGUAGGGAAUCUUCGGCAAUGGACGAAAGUCUGACCGAGCAACGCCGCGGGAGUGAAGAAGGUUUUCGGAUCGUAAAACUCUGUUGGUAGAGAAGAACGUUGGUGAGAGUGGAAAGCUCAUCAAGUGACGGUAACUACCCAGAAAGGGACGGCUAACUACGUG